rnacentral:rRNA from 1 species
UACGUAGGUGGCAAGCGUUGUCCGGAAUUAUUGGGCGUAAAGCGCGCGCAGGCGGUCCUUUAAGUCUGAUGUGAAAGCCCACGGCUCAACCGUGGAGGGUCAUUGGAAACUGGGGGACUUGAGUGCAGAAGAGGAAAGCGGAAUUCCACGGUGUAGCGGUGAAAUGCGUAGAGAUGUGGAGGAACACCAGUGGCGAAGGCGGCUUUCUGGUCUGUAACUGACGCUGAGGCGCGAAAGCGUGGGGAGCAAACAGGA